UUAAAACACAAUUGAAGAUUUUUAGAGUAUAAUUAAUAAAUAAUGAAAUUUUAUUUUGUUAAUUCAAUAAUGACAUAAUUAAUUUAUAUUUAAUUAUUAUACUUUUUAUAAAUUUAUGCAUUUAAUAAUUAUAAUUUAAUUCAUCAAUUUAAUGGAUUAACUUCAAAUACUAUAAGAGUAUAGACAUGUAUUUAACUUUUUUUUUUAUUCAUUGUCCAUCAUCAAUUAGUAAUUUCUUGUGGUAUUUGCAUUUGAAUUAGGUCAUUGCUUGCCAGGGUACUUUAAUCCCAUAUUUAACCUUUGAUUUGAAAAUGUAUCAAUUCGUGUGCUAAGCUUUUCCUUAAAAAGGAGAUUUAGAAAAAAAUUGGGUUUAGGGACGAGUGAAUAAGUUUAAAAUAAGUUUAAUCCCUUUCCUUCCUUAUUUUCUCUUUAUAUCUCUUCUCUUUCAUUUUUUAAUGACGUCUUCUCAUCAUGCAUGACCGUAAAUAAGAAUAUUCUUUUUUUUUAUUGUUAAACAGUUAUUUAAUUCCUUUCUAUACCGGUAUGAGUCAAUGUAUAGGGGUUUGUUCCCUGACUGUCUCAUAGAGUUCUUCUUUGAUGAGUCAGGACUCCGAUCAAUCUGAUCUGCGCAUUAAUAAACCAGUUUCUGUAGUGAAAUCUGAUAGAGUUUAAGCAUAACUCUCCUACAAGAGUUGACCAUGCCCGGUGCCCAGCGUUCAUAAGGAAAUUUGAUUGACUGUUUAAGCAAACAUCUCUAAUAAACUUAGUUGCUAUGCUAUGACUGACUGGAUGAGUUUGUGCUUUUCUAGCUUUGCAUGUAUCUUUUCUUAAUGGAGCCAAAUCUUCCAUUAGAUCCUAGGGUUUUUCUGUAAUGGGCCAAAGAUUCUUUCUUGUGGGUCCACUAUAAUCUUUGCUAGUAACCUUUUUUUAGAUGUAAUCUUGUUAUCCAUAUGAUGCAAAAUACUUAUAUUUCCUUCUUUUUAUACCACAACAUUGCCACAGAAGAUAUUAUCAGCAAACAUGCAGCAUUUUGGCGUAAGAGAUUUUACUAUAACGUUUUAAAAUUUAGGAAUUUUAUGGUAACAAAAAUAAAAAGGGUAAACUACAGUUUAGUCCCUCUAGUUUAAUAAAAUAUUUACUUUAGUUCUUAUGUUUUUAAAAACCUACAGUUUAAUCUUUCACAUUUAAAAAAACUGCAAAAUAGUUCCUACCGUUAAAUUUUCAGUUAACCUUCCAUUUAUUUUAAUGAAAAUGACUAAACUACUCUUUAAAUGAAAAGAUCCAAUCAAACAUUAUUUUUCACUUUCAAAUUAGCCCAUCUCACUACCUCUCUGUAACGACCCCAAAAUGGACCGUCACCGGCGCUAGGAUUCAGGUCGGCUUAAGGCCGCCAUAACCCGUAGCAAACCUGCUAUACUCUCUGUGUACAUGUAAAUCUCAUACAUGAUCAUACAUUUUCUGUGAAAAUAAAAACUCUUUUCUGAACCAAGGCUUAACCUGUGCAUGCACUAUCUCUGUACUCUGUACUCUGUACUCUGUACCCCUGACUAGAGCUUGCUCUAGAUGGGUUAACUCAUACCUGUUAAGCCUGGUAGUUCACAUACGCUGUAAAACAUAUACAUAUACAGAUCAUGUACAUAACAACAGCUUUACAACACAAACAACUAAGUCAAGCACAUCUGUAACUGAAAACAUAACUAUUACAUCUCUUUAACAUUACAUGUCCACUCUACACUAUUACAUUUCUCGUUACUCUUUCUAUGCUCUGCUGACUUGCCCUGUACACUGUACACUGAACCUGCAAAACUGGGGUUAAGGGAGUGGGAUGAGCUCUAUAGCCCAGUGAGUAGAACAGUAAAACAACACAGUCAAACCACAUCAAGAGUAAAUCUGUCACCACAUAGUCCCAGUAACUCUGUGCCAGGGCGUAGAAUCGAGCACCUGGUCUUCCUGUCAUAUAUAUAUAUAUGUGUAUAUAACACCUCUGUACUUACCAUUGCCAGGGCGUAGUCAAAGGCUCCUGGUCUUUACUAUAACUGCCAGGGCAUAGUCAAAGGCUCCUGGUCUUUACUAUACCUGCCAGGGCGUAGUCAAAGGCUCCUGGACUUUCAACUAAUCAUGAAAACGAAUCAAAUCUGUGCAUGAGUUAAUGAAAACAUGGAAGAAAACUCACAAAGGACAGGGUUUCACCUUAGAAGAUAAAAGAAACGGUGCUUGCACCGCUUCAACCGACUGAGGGCCAUUUAUAGGUGGCUAGCCAGACCACCUUCGGCAGCCACACGUGAAACCGAAAGCCAUGCAUGUUCGGCGGCCGAACCUCAACUUCGGCGGCCGAACCUGGCUUUUCUGCCUUGGUUCAUUUCACUCAAAAACUCAUUUCUUAGGCAUAAAACUUAAUAAACAUAUCAAAACAUUUAAGAAAAACAUAAUUCUAACCCUUCUAGAGACUUCCGACAUCCCGGACUCCACCGGAAAGUAGACUUCCGAUACCGGACUCUAACAGAGUAUUACACUCUCCUUCCCGAUUCUCUUCUUCCUUUUCUCCUCAUCAUUCUCCUUCUUUUCUUGAUCCUCUUCUUCCUUCUUCUUCCGUGUUUGAUUUCAUGCAAUUGGGCGAGAUGGUAAUGGUGAUUAUACGAAUAUAGGUAAAUCUGAAGAGCUUCUUCCUUCUCUCCUCAUCCUUCUUCUUCUUCUGUGUUUGAUUUCAUGCAAUUGGGCGAGAUGGUAGUGGUGAUUAUACGAAUAUGGAUAAAUCUGAAGAGUUUCUUCCUUUUCUCCUCAUCCUUUUCUCCUCAUCCUUCUUCUUCUUCUGUAUUUGAUUUCAUGCAAUUAGGCGAGAUGGUAGUGGUGAUUAUACGAAUAUGGAUAAAUCUGAAUAGCUUCUUCCUUCUCUCCUCAUCCUUCUUAUUUUUCUGUGUUUGAUUUCAUGCAAUUGGGCGAGAUGGUAGUGGUGAUUAUACGAAUAUGGAUAAAUCUGAAGAGAGAAGAAGAACAAUGAUGAGAAUAAAAUAGAGCAGAUAAGUGAGUAAGAGCAGCCGCAACUAAGAAGAAGGAGGAUGAGGAGAAGAAGAAGGAGAAGGAGAGGAUUGAGAAGGGGAGAUAGUGGGAUGGAGUGAAUACUGUUUGGUUGAAUUUUUUUACUUAAAGGGUAGUUUAGUUAUUUUCAUUAAAAUAAACGGAAGGUUAAUUGAAAAUUUGACGGUAGAGACUAUUUUGCAGUUUUUUUAAAUGUGAAAAAUUAAAUUAUAGGUUUUUAAAAAUACAGAAACUAAAGUAAAUAUUUCAUUAAACUAGAGGGAUUAAACUGUAGUUUACCCAAAUAAAAAUGAUAACAUGAUGUGAAAUACUCUUCAAACUCGAGGGAUUACCAGUAAAAAUUACUCAAAAACUAAGGCUUCAUUUGUUUCAAGAGAAUUAUUUUUUAUAUUUUUUAAUGUUUGAGACACAUAUGAAAAUUAGUUAGAAUAUUUUUUUAAUAAAAGAAAAAUAUUAAAUCAUAUGUAAAAUGACUUCUUUCUACGUUUUGAAAAUCUUAGUAAGAUCUUUUUAUAUAAAUGUAUUAAUAUAUAUAUUAUUUUUAAGGGUUGGUGUUAAAAAUUCUAAUUUUUGUAUCACUUUACGAUUUAAUUUUUAGUUUUCAAUUUUGGCACAAUAAACUAUUUUUUUUUAAAUUCUUAAAAAAUUUUAUUCUAAUUUCAAACUGAAAUUAGAUAGAGCCUGUUUUCAUCUACCUAGCAAAUCUAAUCCCGUGGGUUAUUUUGCUAUUAUUUAAUCGGGCCGCUUGAUAAAUUUUUAAUUAUGGUAUUUCAUACAAAUUUUUACAAAUCAGUGUAAUUUGAUUUAUUUCAAAGAAAUUGAAUUUCUCAAAGCAACUCCUACAAAUUUUAUAUAUCAUUUCAAGCAAUCUCAACAACAGCUCACAAAUUCUAAAAAAUAAAACACAAAUUACAUAUGUAGAUAUAAAAAAUUGAAUUGCAGAUUACACGAAAAUAUAGAUUUGAACAAAUAAAUCCAAACACAAAAAUUAUAAAUUAUUCACAAAUAACAAAUCCACAUGCGGACAAAGAAUAAACAGCCAGAGGAACACAAAUUAUACAAUUAAAUCUAAAGCCAAACAUCAAACAUAGCCUCACAAUACCGUAAUCAAUAACCAACUAAAGAUUCAAAGUCAUAUGCCCAUAUGGAAUCAAACAAGAUAAAAAUCUACUGUCGAGGCUUUAGAAAACUAAAGCUAGAUAGAUCAAUUCACCUUCAUUGCUGCUGGAUGACCAUCUGCCACCUUGAAAAUUAACUCUAAUGAUAUAGCUUGCAUUCACAUCAUUAGAUGUUGAAGAUUCAACAUCAUCUGCCUUCAUGCGAGAUGUCCAUGUCAACGGAAAUAAGGAAGUGGCAGUGAGCGAAGAUAAAGUGGCAGAAGGUCGACGACAACAACACCAGUCUUUAUACCCAUAUUAUAACUGAGUAUCUAACCAUAUUAUGGCUGAGCAUCAGUGUAGAGAUUGAAGGAGAAGGAAAAGGAGCUCUGAAAAAAAAAACAGAGAAGGGUGUGGAAUGGAAGGUGGAGCCGCGGUUGAAAAACUUUUGAUGUUUAAAGUUGGGAUGUUAAUGAAUUAGGGUUUUAUUUAGUUUGGUUAAAAA
rnacentral:lncRNA from 1 species